AUUGAACGCUGGCGGCAGGCUUAACACAUGCAAGUCGAGCGGAGAUGAGGUGCUUGCACCUUAUCUUAGCGGCGGACGGGUGAGUAAUGCUUAGGAAUCUGCCUAUUAGUGGGGGACAACAUUCCGAAAGGAAUGCUAAUACCGCAUACGUCCUACGGGAGAAAGCAGGGGAUCUUCGGACCUUGCGCUAAUAGAGGAGCCUAAGUCGGAUUAGCUAGUUGGUGGGGUAAAGGCCUACCAAGGCGACGAUCUGUAGCGGGUCUGAGAGGAUGAUCCGCCACACUGGGACUGAGAAACGGCCCAGACUCCUACGGGAGGCAGCAGUGGGGAAUAUUGGACAAUGGGGGGAACCCUGAUCCAGCCAUGCCGCGUGUGUGAAGAAGGCCUUAUGGUUGUAAAGCACUUCAAGCGAGGAGGAGGCUACUGAGACUAAUACUCUUGGAUAGUGGACGUUACUCGCAGAAUAAGCACCGGCUAUCUCUGUGCCAGCAGCCGCCGUAACAC
rnacentral:rRNA from 1 species